GGCAGAUGAAGGCCUCCUUCCCAUCCUCAACACAGCCAAGUCAUUUUGGGUCUCAAGUGUCUCCCUUUUGUCCCAAAUCAAAUUUUUCUUGCUGAAGAGCCAUCAUUUCAGACUAUUAAGAUGCUUUCAGAUCUGUGACGGGCUUCACCAAUUAAUAAAAGCUACUUCUAUACCGAUACUCACCGCCUGCCCCCAGUGCGGUCCGAGCAGGGAAUUCCAUGGUGCACGCCCAUAAGAAGCGCUUUCUGCAUCUCACAGGACAACAGCCGUCUGCGCUCAGACCCCACCAUCUCCCUCAAACACAGUUUCCCAGCAGAGCCGAGGAGAUGACGGCGCGGGCAAACCCUUCCUGUCCAAACAAAGCUCACUACAUCCCUGGCUUGCUCUGCUCUCACCCCAUCCCUCCCUCGAGUCCUGUACACAAGUGAGGGGAGGAAGAACGGAUCAGGAAGCAGCAGGGUACAAAGAGCAGAAGAGAGCUUCGGUCUCAAGUCCACAGGGCACGCUGCGGCCAAGUCCUCCGACGAAAAGUAAAUUAAAGACAAGAGGAACAAAGAAGAAACAGGGAGAGAGGAGGAGCACACACACCGAGCGUCCACUGUGCCCGCCCCUCGCUCCCCCCACACCAUGCGGUCUGUGUGAUCGUCCCACAGAUGAAGACUAGAGGGGCUCGGGAAGCCAGGCCUCAGAGCCCGCAGGCGCCUCCAUGCACCCCUCCACCUCUGCACGCUGGCUGCCCAGCCCCCAGUCCCAGGCGUGGAAGCCUCCCAGGCGGCAAGGAGCUUUCGAGACCGUGGCUGCUCAGCCCUUGCUCUCUGCUCUAGUCAAGGAGCGUGCCUCGGAAUGAAUGAGGUACAGUCUUUCCCUAAAGUCACCGGAGAACAGAGAUCAAUGAAAAAGGAGGAAGGGAGGAAAGACAAAAGACUUGAGAGGAAGCAAAACGAAACCAGCUUAGAUUUGAUCCCGAUACGUGGGAAAUCAGGUGGGGAAAAGGGGCUACAACUCCAUGAUGACCACAAGUCCAGAGGGCUGUGCAAGCCAACACGGCUGGGGGCUGCAGAAAGCACCACAGCAACUGUCUGACGCCAGGUUGGGGCCAGCAGCCGCACGCUGGAAAACGCAACACACAGCCCACACAGCCCUGUGGGGGCAGCUAAGCCCAAAACCCUGGCGUGGCCCAGCAGGAGCAGGCCUGUGCGGAGUGGACCUGCACACACAGCAAACGCACACACCGCGAACGCACACACCGGAUGCUUCCCGCUGUGGAGACCCACAAGGCAAUGUCUUCUGAAGUUAAAAGGAUGCCAGGAUCCAGCAGUCCCACUCCUAAGUAUGUGCUCAAGGAAAAGUAAGAGUUUAGAUCAUACAAAGCCAACAUUUCCAGCAGCUUUACUCCAUUUCACCAAACCCAGAAACAAUACAGAUGUCCUUCAACCAGUGAACGAAUAAACAAGUCCCAGAGCAGCCGUGCCUGGAGCAUCACUCAGCAACGAAAAGCAGCGCUGCGAUUCACACAGCCACGCGGUGAGUCCCAAAUGCACCUCCAUGAGCCAAAGAUGCCAUAUUUGUAUGACGUUCUGGAAAAGGCAAAAUCACCAGACAGAAAGCAUGCUGGGGUGGCCAGGGAGGGGAGUCUGGGGUGGUGGGGCCGCAAGUCAGCCCCAGGCAUGUGAAAAUGCGCAGCUGCACAGCAGAAGGGCAAAUGAGGCUGUAUAGACAGUUUUUUUUAAUCAACCAGAAUGAAAAAGACUCAAAAUGAAACACCAGCUCUAAGCGGUAAACCUAAGGGAACCACAAACAAAGAACACAACACCAGGCAGUGGGAAACACAACGGCACCCACGGUGCUGAGAAAACGCCACUUCCACUGGGAACGGUAGGCCAAGGACAGAACGGCCUGUCCACAGACACUGCACCCUCGCAAGUCAACCUCUCCUCACAGAGCCAUGGAUUAGCAAUUCCAGAAAGACCCUGUGCGCACGUGAGGACUGGAUGGGUAAGUAAAACAUGGUGUGUGCUGACACCUGGGCUUCUCAAGACCAAGGAGACAGCACAGGAGGCGAGGACAGCCCAGGGGUGCUGGAUGGAGCCAGUGUCAGGGUGUCCACCGAGGGGCCCUGGGGCCCUGACACACCCGGAGCAGGCAGCACCCCACACCCACAUCUCAUCUCUAAGCAGCACUCGGCAACAAGAGGAAACAGGGCUCACUGGGAAAGUGGCGGACUGCAGGAAAAGGGCAGGAAAAACAUCUAAGUUUAGAGCAUCCUGCAGUGCCAGAUAGUUUGAAAAAAAAAAAAGGCUUUAAAAAAAGAUGAGGGCAAAUCACAGGGCACGAGAGCCCAACUGUGAGAGCUCCCAGUGACCAAGGCUGAAAUACCGUGAAUGAACCGAAUCCGCAGAGCACUGGGUCACGGCCGUGAAGUAAAACAGAGAAGGAAGCAACUGACACAAAUAACCUACUCGACGAGGGGCAGAGCCUCCCUCAGCAAAGCGUCCCACUCAGGAAACGGGGACGAGGGGCAGAGCCUCCCUCAGCAAAGCGUCCCACUCAGGAAACGGGGACGAGGGGCAGAGCCUCCCUCAGCAAAGCGUCCCACUCAGGAAACACGGAAGAGACGGGCGGACAGAAAACCGCCCUGGGGCCAUGGUGACAAGCCCCGCAGCUGAGAUGCACCAAUAGAUGCUUGAACUAGGAGGAGAAGUUUUUGUAAGAAAUGGGGGCUGGGCACGGUGGCUCACAGCUGUAAUCCCAGCGCUUUGGGAGGCUGAGGUGGGUGGAUCACCUGAGGUCAGGAGUUCAAGACCAGCCCGACUAACAUGGCGAAACCCCCUCUCUACUAAAAAUACAAAAAUUAGCCAGGCGUGGUGGCAGGCGCCUGUGGUCCCAGCUACUUGGGAGGCCGAGGCAGGAGAAUUGCUUGAAUUCGGGAAGCAGAGGUUGCAGUGAGCCAAGAUUACACCACUGCACUCCAGCCUGGGCAACAGAGCGAGACUCUAUCUCAAAAAAAUAAAAUAAAAUAAAUAGGAUAUUUGCAUAUUCUCAAAGCAUCUUCCCCAAGAUACUUAUUAUCAGAACAAAAGCCGCAGCCAUGCAUUUAGGGAGGCCUUCGCCAGGUGACCGGAGUGACCACACCCGCAACAGAACAUGGUGAUGUCGCACACCCCGACAUCACACACCCAGAGGGACAUGACAUCCCUUUUAAGAUUUUCUGUCCAAAAAUGCAUAGCUUCAACCUAAUCAUGUAUAACAUCAGACUCGCUCCAACUGAGGAACAUCCACAAAACACCAGCCCGUGCUCUCGAAGAGGCGGGGUCACGACGACAGGAGAGACCGAGGAGCAGAUUCUCUCCUGUCCCAGAGUGCAGGGCAGGACAGGGCCACCAAACGCCAUGGGGAUCCCAGGCCAGAUCCUGGCACAGAAAAAGGAGCUCAGUGGGAGAGCCGGCAAGACCUGAACGCAGUCAGGACCCGCGCCUGCUGCACCCAGGCCUUACAGCUUCUGAUAACUGUACACGGGCUCACAAGACGUUACCCUCGGGAAAGCUGGCGGAGGGUGCGUCGAAACAUUCUCCACGACUUCUGCAACUUUCCUGUCAGUGUAACAUUAUGUCAAAAUGAAAAGUUCCCAGAAGAACAUGCCAGACACAUGAGAAAGACAAAAGGGCAAAUGGCCGGAUGGUAAUGACUCAUCCCAAAGGCCAUCUCAACACACCUCGGGCGGGAGAGCCCUGAGCCAGCCCACGGUCUGAGCAGGGAACCAGGGGGCCUUCCCUACACAGAGCACAGCUCCCACCCUGCAGCACCGCCCAGCCGGGGCCAACACCAGAGGACGCCAUCCUCCUUAAGGCCACAAAGUGUAUGGUCCUAGGGCAUCUUUCCUGAAAGAGACAAUUGCGAGAAAUGAAAGCCUGGCUGCCGGGAUCAAUCUUGCGGGUCACCUCCCUGCAGCAAGGCCCAAGCCGACGUCACGUGGCAGAAGGAUCUUCAUGAAGAUGAGCAUGGCUACGACUUGAACGGUGGUUUCUUAACAGGGUCCAACAACUACAGCCUGUGGCCAAAUCCCACCCACAGCCUGUUUUUGUAAACAACUUUUGUUUUUUUAACAAAGUUUUGAUGGAGCACAGCCACCCAGAAUCAAAUACGAAUCGCCGCUGCCGCUCUCACAGCACGAUGGCAGAGUUCAGCGUCUUCGACAGAGACCACCUGCCCGGCAAACCCCAAAGAGUCCGUUCUGGCCCUUCACACAAGACACUUGUCAGACCCAUCUUUUGAGGCCCACAGGUAGUUCUGGGAUCUCGGUAAGAAUCUGCUUUGCAAACACAAGGGCCUCGAAGCCCCGCCUUCCGGUGAGCACCGCUGCAGCAGCAGGGAACCUUCCGGAAGAAUCUGUUCCCAGGGUAGAAACAGUGACGGGCCAGUGCAGCAGAGAAGAGCAGAGCGCCUGGGAGACCUGCAUCAGAGCCCGAACAGCUGGAGGCGCCAGCUCAGUCUGUAUCCCCGCCCCGCGACCCAAGGCUCCCCCAGAAGCCGGGGCCCACCACUGGCACACUGCGGAAGCACUCCCGCAGGAGGACAUGAGGCCACGUUCACACCACGGGGCGCUGGCUCAGGACCCUUCCCAGCAAUUCCCGCAUGUUCCGGGGUCAGAGGAGGCGCUGGACAGGGUCCCCACGUGUUCCAGGGUCAGAGGAGGCGCUGGACAGGGUCCCCGCGUGUUCCGGGGUCAGAGGAGGCUGGACAGGGUCCCCACGUGUUCCGGGGUCAGAGGAGGCACUGGACAGGGUCCCCGCGUGUUCCGGGGUCAGAGGAGGCGGUGGACAGGGUCCCCACGUGUUCUGGGGUCAGAGGAGGUGCUGGACAGGGUCCCCGCGUGUUCCGGGGUCAGAGGAGGCUGGACAGGGUCCCCACGUGUUCCGGGGUCAGAGGAGGCGCUGGACAGGGUCCCCGCAUGUUCCGGGGUCAGAGGAGGCGCUGGACAGGGUCCCCGUGUGUUCCGGGAUCAGAGGAGGCGCUGGACAGGGUCCCCGCGUGUUCCCCGGUCACAGGAGGCUGGAUAGAGGCUCCACAUGGCGUGUCAAUGCCGGGCCUGUGGACACUCAGUCUGCAUGGUUCCCGCAUGGCCACAUCCAGGGAAGCCACGGCCCUGCCCCCAAGGUCAGGACUAUUCCUGGCCAAACAGAAGGACCUGCCGCGCAUGACCUGCAUGGAGCGCUCGGAGCAGAGGGAACGCACUGAGGUGCUGCCAUCAGGAGGGGAACGGUGGCGGGCCCUGCGGGAAGAAGCUCUCAGAGCAGGGCGGGCUGUCCCACUUCCCCUUCCUCCUGCCCCAGGCCCACACCCUCUCCUGCCAGCACCCCACCACCUAAACACAGAAUGCGGCUGCGCUGCCGGAGACGGUGGAGGGGGGAUAAGGCUCAGUGGGAAUGGGGCCCAGCCCCACUGCCCACCACUUAACCACACUCCCUAACCCGAAUAUCCCUCUGUUUCCUCAACACUAAAUAAGGGCCAAGGUGACCACAGAAAAAGCUGAAGGGCGUGAGCAGGACCUCACUGUCCACACUGACGUGUUGGCUGCUGCUCCCAGUGGCCCCAGCUCCAGGAUCCUCUUGUGCCCCUUCCCAGCACAGAAGGGAGCGAGAGCCAGGCCCAGGGAGCGGAGUGCGUGGGUGCAGCUGGAGGGCAGGCGGCUGUGUGUGUGCCAAGUGCCGGGAGGACGAACAAGACUCAGGCCUGACUCAUCUCAUAUUCCUGAAGCACCUAAAGUGGGCUGCACACAGCAGGUGUUGAACAAACGCUUCCUGAACGGGAGCGACAAGGAGCCUCUGUCCUCUAAGAGACAAGAGCCUUGCCAGGGAGGACUGGGGAGCCCCCAGAGAGCCAGCGCAGACGAUGAAUGCCAGGGCAGGGAAACCGAGGUGUCCCCAGCAAGACCCCAGGGGGCCCAGGUCCAUCGGACUGGAGCAGAAAAACCAGAGAAGAAGCCUGAGGAAGAAGCAGGACAGGCCACCAGACCCAACGGGGAGGAAGGCGUCUGGAUGUCCCAGAGUUAGUGAGAGGGCCUUAGCCAAGGAGGCAGGCACAUCACCAAGUACGAGGUGGUCUGCACCCUGCCUCUGCAGGCCUGGGCGGUGCUGCACAAAGUCCCAGGAGAUCCUGAAGUGUGCCCUUGGUAAAGAGGACAGUGGAGACAAAGAAGUAUUUGCAAUGAACAAGUGAAGGCCCACAGCAAACACCCAGCAUGGCACAGCACUGGGCACCACCCGAAGACAAGGAAACCCGACCUUGGGGAGCUCCCAAUGCAGCAGGAGAGGGAUCCAGGCUCUAACGCUGGGAACACAGCCUUUUCUAGAGAUAGGCCUGGCAGAGGCAGCCAGGCAGGCAGCCAAAGCGGGCAGGAAAGACCAGAAGCAGCUAAGAGUCUCCUGCAACAUCCACGUUCCCCAGGCCCCUCCUUCCUGAACAGUCUAGCGGGCCCUGGGGGCCACCGUCAGGGAGGAGCAAGGCUCUGCAGGGAAGCUGCACCCCAUUCCCAAGGGCACCUUCCCAAGCCAAGUCAACCCCUGUGCAAACUAACAGGCAGUCCAGCUCCACAAGCACUGCUGGUGCGGACGGCACAGAGGCUGGGAGAAACCCACAAACAGAGGCCACCCACAUGGUCGUGGUCUCUACAGACAGGCAGCUGCCCAUUCACAAGGAGGAGGCAUGAUAUGAUAUGGUCUGACUGUGUCCCCACCCAAAUCUCAUCUGAAACUGUAGUUUCCAUAAUGCCCACAUGUCAUGGGAGGUGAGUGAAUCACAGGGGCAGUUACCCCCAUACUGCUGCUCACGUGAUAGUGAGCUCUCGAGAGAGGUGACUGUUUUAUAAGGGACUUUUCCCCCUUUUGCUCGGCACUUCUCCUUCCUGUCACCAUGUAAAGAAGGACGUGUUUGCUUCCCCUUCCACUAUGAUUGUCAUUUUCCUGAGGCCUCCCCAGCCAUGAUAAACUGUGAGUUAAUUAAACCUUUUUCCUUUAUAAA